rnacentral:snRNA from 1 species
CUGCUGACUUCAGCAACACAUAUUCCCAAACUGGAACAAUAUGGAGAUUACCAUGUCCUUGCACAAGAAUCUAUGCAGAUUUGUGAAGUGUUUCAUAAUUUU